rnacentral:rRNA from 1 species
AUGAAGAAGGUGCGGGCGAGGCCGCGGCGGAUCCCGGCGUUCGGCGAGUGGAACUACUACGACGACGGCGGGUACGGGUACGGCGACGGCGCCGGCGACUGGCCGGCCACCCAGUGCUUGGACUCCGCCAGGCAGGCCGGCCUGUUCGUCUCGUUGCCGGCUUCACCGAAGCCACUCAAGAAGGUGGUAAAGUGGGGUGACAGCGGCACGCUGGAGGUGGACGGGGAGCAGAGGCAGAGGCAGAGGCAGAAGGUGGUGGUGGGGCUGCGCGAAGAGCACGGGCCGAGGAAGCAGCAGCAGGGGAAGCCCAUAGAAAUUUACCUGAAAGUGUCUGACGCCGCCGACGCCCACCUCGCCGCGAGCUGCACCAAAACCCUCAGGGCGAGGGUGGUCAAAGCCGUGGACGAGGACCUCUACGUGAUCCCGCCGGAGAUGCUCUGCCACAACAACCCACGCAAGAGGCUGACGAAAAGGCUGUGGAUCGGGUGUCUCGGCUGCGUCUCCGCCUAG